rnacentral:rRNA from 1 species
UACAGGGGGGGCAAGCGUUGUUCGGAAUUACUGGGCGUAAAGGGCUCGUAGGCGGCCAACUAAGUCGGAUGUGAAAUCCCCAGGCUCAACCUGGGAACUGCAUCCGAUACUGGAUGGCUUGAAUCCGGGAGAGGGAUGCAGAAUUCCAGGUGUAGCGGUGAAAUGCGUAGAUAUCUGGAGGAAUACCGGUGGCGAAGGCGGCAUCCUGGACCGGCAUUGACGCUGAGGAGCGAAAGCUAGGGGAGCAAACGGG